rnacentral:lncRNA from 1 species
GUGUAUGUUAAGCUUCAUGCACUAGCCAACGCAACCAAAAGUCCAAACUGAUGAAAAGGGCUAGGCAAUCCACAUAUACACUUGAACACCCUCUCUCACGUGCGACGCAGAAAGUCAACACGUGGAUAGACUCGAAGGUAUGACUCAAGAGGCCUAUACGUGGACACAAAGGGGGGAAUAGCAAUAUUUAGAUAAAUUGCGAAAGCCAGGACUUGAACUCAAGACCUAAGAAGCACGGACACGGGGACGGAAAGACGGGGAUACGCAUACGGGGAUACGGGAUACGGCAUUUUCCAAAAACAUCCAUUUGGGGAUACGGCGAGUAUAUAUAUAAUAAAAUAAAAAUAUGGCAUGUAAUAUAGAAUUAAGACAGAAAGUUAAUAAGAAAGAAAUAUUUUUUGCCAAGUCCUUGAUUGAUCCUCAUCCCCCGAUGUCAUGUUGUCAUUGCAUGCUGCAUCCAUCUUGCAAAACAUAUCAAACACAAACAGUAAAGAAGAUUAGAGGACAAGACAUACUUGAAAGAUUAAAGGACAAGACAUACUUGAAGCAACAUGGAGCAGCAGCGCAAGCAUUCAACCCAGCAGCACAAGAUAGCAAGCAACAUCCAGGAUCCAGUAGCUUAAUGGAAGAAAUAUGACGAAUAAAAGAGGAAGAGGUUGAGGAAUAGGUGGGGCUGUUGGGUUACCUGCGAGGCUACGCCUGGGAGUAAAGGCUGCUGGUGCUGGGGCUAGCGGUCGCCGAAUCCAGGCGUCGCCGGCGGCGGCGGCUCGUUCAGUACGACCUGGGAGGGAGGGAGCACCUAGGUCGGGCCGAGGCUGAUGAGAGCGUGCGGGAGACAUAUAGGGUUUGGUAUUGGGUUGGGCCGAGGCUGGUUUUGG